UGCUCUGUUCAGACCCUGGGAACACGCUCACGUGUGAGGUCGUCACUCCCCCAGCCUGUCACCGAGAUGACAUACCUGAAGAUGACCCAAUUGGCAUGAGUCAGGGUAACCUUUUCAUCUUGGACACUUUCUUAAAAGUCUCUAAAGAGGAUCCCAAAAUGUGCUCACAUGAGGCCUCUCACGUUCCAAACCUCCCUGAAUAAAUGCAGUGAAACUCGAUCAGUGACCUUCUGCGCACGAGCUGUAGAGUGAGCAGGAUUCCUCCUCUGGCCUCUAAAGACCCAGGUAACUGACUUCUACAGGAGACGAGCCAGGUCUGUAAGGAACAAACUCAUUAGAUUCUGAAAAGGACCUGAACUAAAAGGCAAAUGAUCUCACACUGAAGGCCUCGGACUUCACCAGGCCCAGAGAGGAGCCCCGGUCCUGCCCCAGCUCAGAGCACUUGAACUCCCUCCAGCGGCUGGACCCUUGGCUGCCGCACGUGAGGGGUGGGGUGGGCCGUUCAUUAGGACAGGGACGGCUGGGUGAGUGGGGUCAAGGGUGGCAAUCUGGGGGCUCUCUGACUUACAAGCCUAUCAGAGAGCAGAGCCCCGUGAAGGCUUGGCCAGCUUCUGACUCCCCCUGGCCUGUCCACUCCCUGGUCUGCACAGCCACGGGGAGGCUCUGGGUCUGUAGCUUCCACAGCCGCGGGCUCGCUUACUGCUCACACGGGGUGAGACAGUGUGCGCUCCCUGGAUGAGCCAGUUUCCUGGAGCAGUGAGCUAAGCUUUAGGGACCGACAGAAAAUCUCAGGUGUGGCCACUCCGGAAGGGGCAGACCCACCGAGGACGAGAUGAUACUCAUCUACAUCCUGGGAUGCUAUUUACUGAUUUGUACAGUGUGAUGCUUUAGUACGGCUUUUUCAAGGUGAGGAUGCUAGUGGGCUGGGGGCGGGGGUGGUCAGGAGAGGCACACCACAGAAUGAACUGAGAACUGACUUAGGAGAAAAGAGGUUCACCUAUGAGGAAAAAAAAGUGCUGGGGAGGAACCGACUAGCAGUCAGCCUAGGGGCUUAACUUGGAUGGAGCUGGCUCCUAGAAACCCACUCCCCACACGAUUCUGGGCUUACUGUGCCUGUAUCAGCGAAGAGUCCAUUAAAGCCAGCCACACUCUGUGUGAUCAGAAGACCCCCUCCCUCCAUUCCACACAAGUUUACUGAGAACUUCCACAUAACAAGCAGUAAAGUCAGGGGAGACCAUGUCUUUAAAAUGUUAAGGAAAAAUAGCCAUUAUCCUGGUCUCCCGGAACCUUUCCAUGUGCUUCUAAAAGAAAUGCAUUUCUCUCCCAUGAAGCCCGCAGGACACCUGAUAGCACACUGACCAAGGUGGGGCUCUUAAUUCACUUAGUUAUUCCUGAGUUGAAGUUGCGAGUUUAUUUGGCAUUAGCAACUGAGGGACGAAUAUUCCUGGUGGUAAAAAAUGUUCAAAGCAACUUUCAAGAAAACUUAGAUGAAAAAGGCACCGAGCUGAGUGCUGCAGGGCAGACACUGUGGGCAGUGUCCGAUUAGCUGUUGGCCAGGCAGCCGGUGGAGCCUAAGCUCAAGCUGCUUUUGGCUCCAUCAUUUUCUCUACAAGUUCAAGUGUCGAUGGCAUUACCUGUUUGCAGCCUGGAGUGUGUAAAGGACAUAACACUUUCCCACUUCACUCCAUUUAAAAGCUUAAAAGCUAAGAUCUGGACCCUCUUUCCGCUUAAAAUGCAUUUAUCUGCUACUCUGUCAAAGGAGUGAUGAAGUAGCAGCGUAGAGGACAGAAGGCUCGGCAUCUGUUCAGCUGCUGUUUUGUAGAAUCCUUACCCAGCCACAUCCUCGCAGAGCAGAGCAGCGCAGCUGAGGGGAGGUGCUGGCAUUCUCAACGGUGCUGACAAGAACCCUUGCCCUGAAAAACUGGCUUCUCCUCCCACGUGCUACAGUGAUGUUGAUUCAGCACCACAGAGUAUGUGCCUUGGCCCCACCAUUCUCCCAUAAUAGGGUAACACAUGAAUCUGGUCAUGUUGGUGGUGGGAUUCUCUCCAUGAGGAUGCACAGAGAGAGAAAGAGGGGCACAGAGGACAUCGCUGCUCUUCCGAGUCUGCCCGGAUGCCACGUAACCCGAGUAUAAAACACCUAGCUGAGACUGCUUUCACAGCCACGUGAAGAGCAUAGCCAAUUCAGAUCAAGCAGAAGAGGGACAGGCACAUUGUGAAAGAGGGCAGCAACACCGAGGGGCUCAGGCCACGACUGCCUGUGUGCACAGCUGUCUAUCCUACUGAACGAGGGAAAUGGUGAACAUUAGUUAUUACGUGGAAGACGAAAUGGAGGAGGCUGGUUAGAUAAUCUGAGUUUGGGAAAUUUAGGUUGGAGAAAGUUAAUUUCUCUGCUGUAAACUUGGCUAUUCUAACGUGCACACUGAAGAGGGGGUAGAAUGUGACAUUUCCUGAGUCUGAUCUGAGAACACUUUUGCCAAGAAACAUCUUACAGGACUAGUUACAUAGGAACACAUUUGAGGACUGGCUUCUCUAUUAAAGACAGUGACAUGAUCUAAUAAUUUAUAUGCUUUACGAUGUAGUUAAAUCAGAUCUGAACUUAAGCCAAGGCCAGUGGUUUUUAAACUGGUCUAGCCUUACCGCUAGCAGUCUACCAGAGCUUUCAAGGAGUCACAGGCUCAUUUUUUCAGGGGAUCAAUGUUCAGAUCCUUGACUUCCUGUUGCACUCUAUCCAAAGACUCAUCAGCAUGAGAAGAUGCCCUUUUCUCCCCUUACAGAAAGAAGUAGGUCUUCUCCCGACAUUCAGUCUUACUGUAGAGCAGGACUCGAGAUAUAGUUUCAAAGCACAGUGUUUGGAAAGUGAAAGCCUCUUAACAGGAUACCGAUCCUUCUCCAGUGCUGAUGGUUUCCAGUUCCUUGCUUUCAACAAAACUGAAGGAGUACCCAGAUAUCUGAGUACUUUAGCAUGUAAUUCUGAAGGAGAUGGCUUUACCCUGCUGUCACUAACUCCUCCUGUUCUCAUUUGUCUGUGAAAAAGGAUCACUAGCAUUCCCAUUUGUACAACUGAAAGCGGAGAGCAGAACUGAUACUGUCCCACGGCCGUUCUACCAGAGAUAACGGUAAUCCACACAGAGAUCAAAGAAUGGAGGAGAAGCCUUCUUUGACUCAUUACAUUGCCAGUGGAAUUUUACUGUGUUUAGUUCUUUAUUACAUGUGUACUCUGUUUAUUAAACAAGCUGAAUUCAGAAGAAAUUUAAAAUAUGUGGAGCCUUUUUAAAUGAUGGUGUAGGUAGGAUGAUGUGUAAUUUUGUUACAGAUAUGCAACUAAACAGUAUAUAAGCCAAGAAUAAUUAGGCUACAAUUUUGUAAAGUAGAAUAAAAAUAUAAAUUCAAUGAGUAAAAAAAAAGUGGCAUUUCCUACCAUUAAAAAUUCCCUUGUUUGUAGAAUUUUUUGAAAGGAUGGUCGUAUCUAUCACCAAUUGUAUUUAGAACCUUUGGCUGUAUUUAAAGGGAAAUGGAAAUAUCUUACCUGAAGAUGCAGUAUCUACCAUGUACCACAUGCACCUUUGCAACUGUUCAGGAUGAAAUCAUUAGCCAUCAAUGUAGAAAUGCGUAAGGGGACCCAUGAGUUUUCCACAGUCACUUAUGAGGUCUCUGAGCAUAAAAUUUUAAGAAGACUGAUCCAGGGUCACUAAGGGUGAGUUUUAUUUGGACUUAAGAAGGAUGGUUGAAGGGGGCUCUAGUUCUUUUAAUUUCUAGAAGUGUAGCUGAUCUUUCCAUAUAGGUGAUAUCCAGCUUUUUGGAGACAACCCUAAAAGCUAUAUUCUUACCAACAGAAAGCUGAUCAUUAGAUAAAGAAAUAUGCAGAAUUAUAAAACUGGCGUUUGAAAACUACUCAGUGAUUUUGUGUCAGGCUUUUCAUUCUCAAAAUAUUUUCUUCCUGAAGAACCAGUUCCAUGGUGACCCUGUCUCAGAAAUGUCCAUACUUAUUUCUCAAUAGACUUUAAAAAGCUGCAUUUGUAAACGUGUGUUUAUUAUUAAAGCUUAAUUUAUUUUUUAUAUAAAUAGUGUGUGCUUGUGUGUACAUAGAGAAUCAUGUGAAUGUAUCACACAAAUGUUGGCUGUUGUUAAUGUGAGAAUUAAACAGCUAUAUCACAUUUAAAAAAAAUAAAACUUUGUCUCAUUCAUAGAUUA